GGUGCUUUUUGAGACAGAAUUUCUUUUAAUAGCCCUGUCUACCUUGAACUCAUUUUGUAGAUCAGUUUGGCUGGAACUCACAAGAGAUCUGCCUGCCUCUGCCUCCAGAUUGCUGGCAUUAAAGGCAAGCAGCUACCUGGCUAACACUGCUGUUUUUAUGUAGUGUAUCUGAAAAGCAUUUUUUUUAAAGAUUUAUUUAUUUUAAUUAAUUAAUUAAUUUUAUUUAUUUUAUUUUAGUUUGGGUAUUUUUACUUUGAGUAUUUUAUUUAUUUUGAGUAUUUUGCCUGCAUGCAAAGAUAUGUGUACCACAUGUAUGCUUGGUGUGAUGGUCUGGAACUGGAGUUAGAGACAGUUGUGAGCUGCCACAUGGGUGCUGGGAAUUGAAUCUGGGUCCUUUAGAGGAGCAGCCACUUAACCACUUAAUCACUGAGCCUGAAAGCUGAAAGCUUUUUUAAAUUAAGGUUUUUUUUUUUGUUUUUGUUUUUGUUUGUUUUUUGUUUUUUGUUUUUUGUUUUUUCGAGACAGGGUUUCUCUGUAUAGCCCUGGCUGUCCUGGAACUCACUUUGUAGACCAGGUUGGCCUCGAACUCAGAAAUCUGCCUGCCUCUGCCUCCCGAGUGCUGGGAUUAAAGGCGUGCGCCACCACACCCGGCUUAAAUUAAAUACUUAUUUUAUGGAUGCUUUCUAGUUGCUUGCUUUGUAACUACUAUGAAGUCAGAAGACUCAAAAAGUGAUAAGAGUGUCUGAUUGCUGUUUUCCCUCUGCAUUAAUGGGUCUAUUUAGCCCUAAGACAUCCUAAUAAUUUUUAGUGCUCUCUGGCUUGUUUCUAUCCCCAGAGUGGCAGAUACUGAGGUGAUUGACAUUUAAGAAGUAGAUGGGAGAGGAUGUUUUUUCAGUGGACCCAGUGAAUGAUUUCAGAGUAGAUCCUGUUAACAGCAAGUGUUCAGGGUGGUGCAGUUGGGAGAGUCAGCAGGGUCUUCCUUGAGAUGUGUGGACUUUGUUUUGUCUGGGGCUUACAGAUCGUGCUGUUUUUGGUUUGUAGCUUGACACAAGUUUUUGAUGUGUUGGAAUUUACUCAGUACUGAAUUUAGCUUUAAGCUGACUUUUAAGUAGCUUUAAAGUGAACACAGAAGUCUAUAACUUUAUAUUCAUAUAUACAGCUAUCAGUCAUGUUCCUUUUUUCUGGGAAAGUGGUCUUAAUGGUUCUUCUAGUUAAUAACAAAAUAAGCAACCUACCUACUCUUUUAGGGUUGUAUGUUAUUUUCAAGGUUGCAUAAGUCGUUAUCUGUAAGAUUGAAUAAUUUGUAACAUUUUCUUAGAAAAUGAAUCCAUUUCAAAUACUGACUUGACACUGAGAAUAAGGAGUAUCAUAGUGCCAACUUUAUAAUAUUUUGUCUUUUCUAAGUUCACAAUAAAGUCCUGAUUCAUGUAAGCCUGUAAUAUAGUACAUGUACUCCUAACAAUUUUGCCAGUCAACAUGGAGAAUCCAAAGUAACUUUUUAAAAAAGAAGGAAUUGUAGUCUUUCUGACUAAAACACACUUACAUUGUGUUUCUAUUUGUUUCAUGAGUUGACAAAAGACACUCUAUUUGAAAUCAUUACAAAAGUGUGUUAGCCUGCUGAUACCACUUAAUACAUUAGUGAUUGUUAACAUGUUAACACUGCAGGGGGGGGGCUCUUCCCACUUUUUGUUACAUUAUUAUACUGCAGUGUUAACAUGUUAACAUCAUAGAUCAUAGACAUAGCAGGAUGUUUUAUUGGUUCUCACAGGUGAUUGGAGGGAUCCUGUGCUGUGGUUGUCUGACAGUUACUAGAAGUGCUACUUGGUGGCUGCAUCUAGAUGAGUACCAGAGAGCUUGGGUUCCUCCUCCAGCAAGGCAGGAACCCAUAGGUCUUACUACCUAAUUACUGAUCUCUCAGAAAUGGACUGUGCUGUUGUUUUUAGGACUAAGAGGUUCACCUUAGUUUUGUCUCAUCUGUUAAAAUUCGGAUUUGAUGACUUAAUUUAUGUGGAGAUAAGAUCCCUUCUCUUAAUUAGGAGUCUUUAAAAUAAGUGUUUCAUCUUCUUUUGAAUAAGUUAUUCUUUCAUGUAUACAGUGAUAUUGUAUGGUAGUAUAAUUUUUAAUAUUUCUAAUGUUUUUUAAUUUGGUAUAUGGCAGAUUUUUUCAUUAUUUAUAUAUACUUUAAUGUAACUCAUAAUUUAGUCAAGCUUAUAAAACUGAGACAAGCAGACAUAUUAUUAUUAUUAUUAUUAUUAUGUAUUUUACCUGUGCUGCUCCUGAAACUAAAGGCGUAGUGUGCUAGGCAAACCUUUAGAUUCAAGACUUUAAUCUGUAUUUUCUGGAUUUAAGCUGUCAUCAUCAUUAUUAAAAUUAAUUAAACAAAUUUUAUUUUGAGACAGGGUUUCCCUGUGUAGCCCUGGCUGUCCUGGAACUUGCUUUAUAUAGACUAGGCUGGUCUUAAAGUCAGAGAUCUGCCUGCCUCUGUCUCCGGAGUGCUGGGAUUAAAGGUGGUCAGUCAACUCCACUGCCUGACUUUUUUUUUAAACCUUAAAUUAUUUUCUUUAUAUUAUGUUUUUCUGUUCACCAUUGUUUAGCAGCUUUUCAACCUCACC
rnacentral:lncRNA from 1 species